GCUCUUAUAUGGUAAAUUUGCUUCUGUGGCCUGAGUCCAGAACACAUCCUAGUCUUCUCUGGAGAGAAGCAGAGUCAGGGGAAGGAAGAGAUUUUGUAAUGUGGACAGUGUUCAGUGUUCAUUGCUGAGGAAUCGAGAGUCAGUUUGCAUUCGUCAUGGGCGGAGGACCCCGCAGCUGGUGGAAGGCCAGCAGCAGUGUAAAGCCCAGGAAAAAGACGUGUGAAUGAAGAACCCUUGAAAUUGACCCCAGCUGUAGGCACUCGCCACACUUGCCUCAAUCUCCUGGGAGACCCGGAGUCAGACUAGUUCAGCUCAGCUGCUCUCAAAUUCCUGGCCCGCAAAACCUGCAAGAGCUAAUAAACAACAUUGCUUUGCUGGAACCACAAGGAGGGGCUUUUUCUAAUACUGAUAGUCUGGAAAUCAACUGGCAUCAUAAUUCUAACAAGGAGGCAAGGUUUCAGUCUAUCAACCAGACUGGAGUUCAGAGAUGCCAUCAUAGCUCACUGAAGCCUUGAAUGCUUGGGGACAAGAGAUCUUUCUCCUUCAGCCUGUUGAGUAGCUGGGACUUCAGGUAUGUACCAGAAUGCCUGGCUAAUUUGAAUUAUUUUUUAUUUUUAUUUUGGUAGAGAUGAAUUUUCACUAUGUUGUCCAAGCUGGUCUGGAACUCCUGACUUUAAGUGUUCCUCUUGUCUUGACCUCCCAACUUGCUGGGAUUACAUGAGCUAGCAUGCCUAGCCUUGAUAUUUCUUUUUUAAAAAGGCACUUGUAUUGUCUAACACCUAUGGCUAGAGGAUGAACAUUUGGUCAAGGAUCAACAUUUGGCCUCUGAAUAUAAGUGUCUAUUUAGUUAAUCAAGAUGGGCAUCACAUUUCAGGA
rnacentral:lncRNA from 1 species